rnacentral:rRNA from 1 species
AGCAGCAGCCGCGGUAAUACAGAGGGUGCGAGCGUUAAUCGGAUUUACUGGGCGUAAAGCGUGCGUAGGCGGCUAAUUGAGUCGGAUGUGAAAUCCCCGAGCUUAACUUGGGAAUUGCAUUCGAUACUGGUUAGCUAGAGUGUGGGAGAGGAUGGUAGAAUUCCAGGUGUAGCGGUGAAAUGCGUAGAGAUCUGGAGGAAUACCGAUGGCGAAGGCAGCCAUCUGGCCUAACACUGACGCUGAGGUACGAAAGCAUGGGGAGCAAACAGGAUUAGAUACCCCCGUAGUCCCUGUCUCUUAUAC